rnacentral:RNase_P_RNA from 2 species
CGGGGUGGCUGGAUAGCCGCUCGAUAAGAGAGGAAAGUCCGGGCUUCACAGGGCAGGAUGCUUCCUAACGGGAAGACCUCUAAUAAGGGUGGAAAGUGCCACAGAAAAUAAACCUCUCCGCAUUUUCAAAAAUGCGGAGAAAGGGUGAAACGGCGGGGUAAGAGCCCACCGCUCUGAUGGCGACAUCAGAGGCUCGGCAAACCCCAUCCGAAGCAAAACCAAGCAGCCCCAAAUGAAAUGGCCCGUUUCAUUCUGUUCACGCAGGUGAGGGGUGGGUAGGUUGCGCAGAGCCUGGUAGUGAUAUCAGGACAAGAUAAAUGGCUAUCAUUUACAGAACCCGGCUUACAGGCCACCCUGUUUU